rnacentral:rRNA from 1 species
GGAGACUCUGUGCGCGUGCAUAUCAAUAAGCGGAGGAAAAGAAACUAACAAGGAUUCCCCUAGUAACGGCGAGUGAAGCGGGAAGAGCUCAAAUUUGAAAUCUUCAAGGUUCUGACCUUGACGAAUUGUAGUUUAAUAGAAGUGUUUUCGGUUAGUAGGAGUAGGCUAAAAGUUCUUUGGAAUAGGACAUCAUAGAGGGUGAGAAUCCCGUAUUUGACCGUUACUUUCCAGCUGUGUGAUACACUUUCAAAGAGUCGGAUUGUUUGGGAAUGCAGUCCAAAAUGGGUGGUAAAUUUCAUCUAAAGCUAAAUAUUGGCGAGAGACCGAUAGCGAACAAGUACCGUGAGGGAAAGAUGAAAAGAACUUUGAAAAGAGAGUUAAACAGUACGUGAAAUUGUCAAAAGGGAAGCGUUUGACACCAGUGUUGUUUAAUUGAAAAUCAAUUCAAUAGUUUUUGAUUCUAAGUAGUAUUGACUUCAUCAGCUUGCUGCUUUCUUCUCAGAAAUUAUUGAAUGCACUUUUCAGUUAACAAGUCAACAUCAAUUUCUUUUGUUGUAAAAGGGUAAGAGGAAGGUGGCUUGCGCUUCGGCUCAAGUGUUUAUAACCUUUUAUCUCUGCAAUCGGAGAGAUUGAGGUCUGCAGCGUAGAUCCUUCGGGGUUAGAUACAUUGGUGCUAAGCUAUAGCCUUGUAUAGACAACUUGUUGACUAUGCUCAGUCAUGUAGCUUACUCGCUGAUGCUAUUUUACCUACGCUUAGGAUGUUGAUCUGUAGUGCGUGCGC